GAUGAACGCUGACAGAAUGCUUAACACAUGCAAGUCUUUGGCGAAGCUGUGCUCGCACAGCCUAGCCAAGGCGGACGGGUGAGUAACGCGUAAGGAACUUGCCCUGCAGUCAGGGAUAACAGACGGAAACGACUGAUAAGACCUGGUAAAGUCAGGCGGACUCAUGCCCAGCCUGAUGAAAAGAGAUGCUGCAGGAGAGCCUUGCGUCCUAUUAGCUUGUUGGUGGGGUAACGGCCCACCAAGGCGAUGAUAGGUAGCCGGCCUGAGAGGGUGGACGGCCACAAGGGGACUGAGAUACGGCCCUUACUCCUACGGGAGGCAGCAGUGGGGAAUAUUGGACAAUGGGGGCAACCCUGAUCCAGCAAUUCUGUGUGCACGAUGAAGGUUUUCGGAUUGUAAAGUGCUUUCAGCAGGGAAGAAAAAAAUGACGGUACCUGCAGAAGAAGCGACGGCUAAAUACGUG
rnacentral:rRNA from 1 species